rnacentral:rRNA from 1 species
GACGAACGCUGGCGGCGUGCUUAACACAUGCAAGUCGAACGGAAAGGCCCUGCUUGCAGGGUACUCGAGUGGCGAACGGGUGAGUAACACGUGGGUGAUCUGCCCUGCACUUCGGGAUAAGCCUGGGAAACUGGGUCUAAUACCGGAUAGGAGCCAUUUUUAGUGUGAUGGUUGGAAAGUUUUUUCGGUGUAGGAUGAGCUCGCUGCCUAUCAGCUUGUUGGUGGGGUAAUGGCCUACCAAGGCGGCGACGGGUAGCCGGCCUGAGAGGGUGGACGGCCACAUUGGGACUGAGAUACGGCCCAGACUCCGACGGGAGGCAGAAGUGGGGAAUAUUGCACAAUGGGCGCAAGCCUGAUGAAGCGACGCCGCGUGGGGGAUGACGGCCUUCGGGUUGUAAAAUCCUUUCGCUAGGGACGAAGCUUUUUGUGACGGUACCUAGAUAAGAAGCACCGGCUAACUACGUG